GUCGGCCAUAGAGAGAAGAGAGAGAGAGAGAGUGGCGAGCUAGAGAGAGAAAGGGAGAGAAGGGGCUGCCAUUUUCUAGAGAGAAGGAGGAAAGAAAGAAGGAGAAGAAGGAGAAAGGAAAAGGGUUUCAAAGCUCUAGGACUUUGAGCAAGGAGGUGGUUCUAGUUGGGCUCUUGAUUUUCUAUCAAGAGAGGUAGCAAAUAUGUUUCUCUAUGACACGCGUGAUGAUGUAGGAAGUUCUGUCGUCUUGUUGUGUAUGGCGUGGGGGCAUCCUAUGGAUGAGAAACGAGCAGUUUUAAACGCUAUUUUCUUUUAAUAACGUUAUGUUUAAUGGGACUUUUUAAUUUAUCAGUGGGACUUGAACUUUUGGUUAUUUUAAAGCUUUGCAUGAAAACUGAUAUUUUCUUUUUAAACUAUUGGGCCCAACUUGCAUGUUUUAGCAAGACCCCCAUUGAAGUCCUUAUAAUAAGUGGUUUUUCUCCUAUAAACCAAUUAAUAUGUGAAUGUUUU